rnacentral:lncRNA from 1 species
GCGGACCAUUUUCCAAUUUCCAUGCGGUAUCCCUAUUUUUUUUCUCGCUCAUCUUUUAUGUUUGUUUUUUUUUUCAUCCCAAGACCUCUUGGAGCUUUCAUUCUAUAAAGUGUGUAUUUUGCUAAUGGUCGAAGGCCAUACGGGGACCUAUAGCUUGAUAACGCCUGUUGGUCCCUGGAAAGAAUGUGUCUGAUUGUCUAUCACACUUCAUAUUCUUAUUUUAACAUGCAGUUAUAUCUAUGAUAAGAAUGAAAAUUGAAUUGUCAUUGAGACAAAAACCCAACCAAAGAGCAAAAAAAAAAGAAAAAAAAAGCCCAAGGCAACAUGUAGAUCUUUCGUAUCAAGGGAAUUGCUAUAAAUAUAUUUAUUUCAGGUUAAUAGUAUUAGGCCAUACUCAAGUUAUAAAAUAGAUCUUGUCGUCAACUUUUGCAACCAGCUUCUAUGUUUCUAUAAUGCACUGUUCAUCUUUUUUGGGCUUCGACUUUUCCAUUGGACAGACAAUUUUGUUUUCGACUGUUUUAAAAAGAUGCAUUUUUUUACAAAAUCAUACAAGUAAGGAGUCUCUGGCCUUUGGUAGUGUUGUAUGUUAAUUAAUUAAUGUUUGUUUAUUUAUUUGUUUAGGAAAUAAGUAUGACGUACAUUUUCACUGAACUAGGACACUUUUUAUAAUAGUUUUUCGAUAUCGCUCGGGCAAAAAUAAUCACGAAUAUAAUGCCUACCCAUGUUAAAACUACAAUAAAGUAUAGUUUGCAUCAAUUAUUUCUUGAACCUACCAUUUUUUUUGUCUGUGUUGGAUUUGUGUGGCAUUGAAAAAAAACGGGUAUAAACUACACAGUGCAGCUUCCAACAAGAAUACAAGAUUUAUUGAUUUUCAAAAUGCGACCAAAAUUAAAAAUUUGCUCGCAGCGGAAAAAAUUCAACAGUUUGAUUUUCAUUGAAAUAAAAUAAUUGUUAUGAUUUACACACCG